UUUUUUUUCAGCCAUUCAACAUGAGAGUUCAUUAAGUGCUAUUGGGGAAAAACAUUUUUUGAAUGAUCUUUUACAAAAAAUUAUUACAAAUUUGAAGGAGUUCUUCACACACAGCCUCCGUUUUCUCUGAAGUACAGUGCAUGAUUAGCUGGUAUGCAACAGAAGGCUCUGUAUAGCCUGAAGAGGUUGGUGAAAAUCUUAGUAUAUGCCCCUGGGAGAAAGGGGAACAGGGGCAGGCUCAUGAUACUUUUUAAAGAUAAAAGUAUCACAGUAGUUCUGUUACAUUUAAACCAAACACCAGUUUGUUGUGUUUAUGAAGCCGGAUUUAAUUCUUUGAAUAGUUUCUGUCCUUAAGAGAAGAAAAGAUUCCCAGGCACCAGUUAUAUGAAGCCUGCCAAGGCUGAAGACCUUUUCGUAUCUAUGUUGGAAUGCUGGCUUUGCUUUUCUAAGAUAUUUUGCUUGUUUGAUUCUCGGUUUUUAAAAUUGUAGGUGGGGUGGUACAACAACUGGCACAGUGACAAAGAAUAAAGGAAAUUGCAUUUGUAGAUGUGCUUAGCAUGCAGUAAGAGUCGACGCU
rnacentral:lncRNA from 1 species